rnacentral:rRNA from 1 species
CAGCCGCCGCGGGAAUACGGAGGGUGCAAGCGUUAAUCGGAAUUACUGGGCGUAAAGCGCACGCAGGCGGUCUGACAAGUCAGAUGUGAAAUCCCCGGGCUUAACCUGGGAACUGCAUUUGAAACUGUCAGGCUGGAGUCUUGUAGAGGGGGGUGGAAUUCCAGGUGUAGCGGUGAAAUGCGUAGAGAUCUGGAGGAAUACCGGUGGCGAAGGCGGCCCCCUGGACAAAGACUGACGCUCAGGUGCGAAAGCGUGGGGAGCAAACAGGAUUAGAUACCCGCGUAGUACCUGUCUCUUAUAC